UGAACCAUAAAUUAACUAAAAGGGAAUUGCUUCCACAACGAAACAACUAAACUAAAAAAAUGAUAAGCUUUAUCACUUUACAAUCACUAGACAUAGGGAAAUCUCAAAAGCUACUGAAAACACAUGCUUAGCUUUGACUACACUGAUAAUACACUUAACAAUAUUCAUGCUUGAAUCCAAGCUUAAACUCAAUUAUAGCCUAAAAACUUCACACCCAUUAACUUUUCCUCCAUACCAACAGUAGCGAGAUCUAGAUAAUUAGCACAAUUCACUUAAAUCUAAAAAUCAACACCCAAACUCUUAAAGAGUAUAAGUUCAUUUCUACAACACAUCAAUAACGUAAGAUAACUAAGCUAACAUGUACAACACUGGCCUAUUACAGAACAUUUAAAGAAGAUGAAUAAGCAAAUGAAAAGGGGAUCCAAAAUAACUUGUAUUCAAUCAGGCCUCAAUUGGAAACACAUGUUCUUAGCUACUUGUUGACAUUGAUUUGAAGUAAUACCUCGUAGUGAACAAGAAAAAAAUAAAAGAGGUGAGGAAUCAGCACUAAGCAGUAGCAUAAAUCAGCUUAAACCUAGCAAUGAAACAGUGCCAAAACUCCAGCAAAUUAGGCUUCAAAUUUUCAAAUUAAUUCUGAUGCUUUAGAACCCCAAAUGCAAUAUUCCUAUUGAACCCUUUAAAUCUGACUCUUCAACAAGGAAAUUAAUCUUGAAAUCAAGCAAAAAACUCAAACCAUUUUCAGUAUUUUUCUUGAAAGAGAAAAAAAGAACUCCAGCUGUUUUUAAUUUUUCCAGAAUUUUAUCUCUAAUUUUUCUGCCUUGAACCUUAAGUAAAGAUGCCUUUAUAGGCAAGGUUUUAGGGUAAUAGAAAUGCAACUAGUUUUGCACUUAAAACCUUUUGCAAUUUUCAUUUUUGCUUAGGCACUUUUAGUGUAAAAUAUAGAUUUUCACAUAAGUCCCAAUGACAGCUUCUGGGAAGCUUCAUAUUUCGACUAUAGAGAGAUUCCCUACUUAGAUUUUCUAAAUUAACCCUUGGACCUCAAUUUUUUUACCCUUAAAGCCUAUGGGUCAAGUUGACUUAAUGACUUAACUGAAUGAACGGGCUGCCUUUUUUUUUUUUUUUGGUAAAUGGGUCAGAAUCCAAAGUCCAAAUGACUCAAUUGCCAAUCAAAUCUUUAAGCAUAGAAUGACACAAAUACUGAAAUGGUUUUGACAAUUAGAAAUCUAGACUAAAUAACUUAUUAACUAGAAUUAACUAAAUUAAUAAAUCUAAAAUAUAAUUAAUAGAAUAAAUACACUAAUAAGACAAAAAUUUAAACUAACAUGCAUAAACAAACAAACUGGAGAAACUAAAAAAAUGAAGAAGAAUCGAGAUGAAGAUAAAGAAGCAGAAGAUAGAAAGAACAAAUGCAGGCAAAAAAUGAGGAAAACAUAACAAAGAAAAGGAAAAAUACCCAACAAUAUCUCGGACAGUAAGAAACGGAGACUGAGUCUUCAAAAUCUUCCAAUUUUUGGCCCAAUUCGAUAUUAGUCGUGUGUUCUUACCAAGAACACACGAAUAAAAUCAAAAUAGACCUAAAUCUUCAAAGAAAUCUCGAUUUGAAAGUGCUUUGGAAUUUUAGGGUCCCACAUUCGAUUCAAGAUUCGAGGAGUUCAGGUCUGAUUUGAGGGAAAAGAAGUAGAUAUUGCGGAAGAGGAAGUAAUUUAGGCUCUACGACGUUGAUUUGGGUUGGUUUAGGGGUGGUGCCGCCAACUGAGGCGGUGGGAAAUCAGGGUGGCAAUCUAGGGUUUGGAGUAAAGUAUCUGAAGAGAGGAGUUGAGAGAGAUGAGAU
rnacentral:lncRNA from 1 species